rnacentral:rRNA from 1 species
GACGAACGCUGGCGGCGCGCUUAACACAUGCAAGUCGAACGGAAAGGCCUGCUUUCCCUUGUGGAUUGCGGGUACUCGAGUGGCGAACGGGUGAGUAACACGUGAGUGAUCUGCCCCCAACUUGGGUAUAAGCCUGGGAAACUGGGUCUAAUUCCCGAUAGGACUGCAGGGUGGUGCCUGUGGUGGCAAACGAUUUUCUAGUGGUUGGGGAUGGGCUCGCGGCCUAUCAGCUUGUUGGUGGGGUAAUGGCCUACCAAGGCGGCGACGGGUAGCCGGCCUGGGAGGGUGGACGGCCACAUUGAGACUGAGAUACGGCCCAGACUCGUACGGGAGGCAGCAGUGGGGAAGAAUGCACAAUGGGCGGAAGCCUGAUGCAGCGACGCCGCGUGGGGGAUGACGGCCUUCGGGUUGUAAACUCCUUGCGACCGCGAGGAAGCCACCUGGUUGGAAGGGUGGUGACGGUAGUGGUAGAAGAAGCACCGGCUAACUACGUG